GCCGAGGUAGCUCAGGCGGUAGAGCGAGGGACUGAAAAUCCCUGCGUCAGGGGUUCAACUCCCUUCCUCGGCACCA
rnacentral:tRNA from 1 species